rnacentral:rRNA from 1 species
AUCUACAGCCAUGCCACCCUGAACAAGCCCGAUUCCAUCUGAUCUUGGAAGCUAAGCAGGGUCGGCCCUGGUUAGUACUUGGAUGGGAGACCACUUAGGAAGACCAGGUGCUGUCAGCA